rnacentral:rRNA from 1 species
GACGAACGCUGGCGGCGUGCCUAACACAUGCAAGUCGUGCGAGAACGCCUCCUUCGGGAGGCUAGUAAAGCGGCGAACGGGUGAGUAACACGUGAGCGAUCUACCCGACGGUGGGGGAUAACCCAGGGAAACCUGGGCUAAUACCGCGUACAGCGCUGGGAGUGAAGACCCAGCGUGAAAGCUGGCCUCUCCAUGGAAGCUAGCGCCGCCGGAGGAGCUCGCGGCCUAUCAGCUUGUUGGUGGGGUAACGGCCCACCAAGGCUAUGACGGGUAGCUGGCGUGAGAGCGCGAUCAGCCACACUGGGACUGAGACACGGCCCAGACUCCUACGGGAGGCAGCAGUGGGGAAUAUUGCG